CCUACGGGAGGCAGCAGUAGGGAAUCUUCCGCAAUGGACGAAAGUCUGACGGAGCAACGCCGCGUGAACGAUGAAGGCCUUCGGGUCGUAAAGUUCUGUUGUUAGGGAAGAACAAGUGCUAGUUGAAUAAGCUGGCACCUUGACGGUACCUAACCAGAAAGCCACGGCUAACUACGUGCCAGCAGCCGCGGUAAUACGUAGGUGGCAAGCGUUGUCCGGAAUUAUUGGGCGUAAAGCGCGCGCAGGCGGUUUCUUAAGUCUGAUGUGAAAGCCCCCGGCUCAACCGGGGAGGGUCAUUGGAAACUGGGAAACUUGAGUGCAGAAGAGGAAAGUGGAAUUCCAAGUGUAGCGGUGAAAUGCGUAGAGAUUUGGAGGAACACCAGUGGCGAAGGCGACUUUCUGGUCUGUAACUGACGCUGAGGCGCGAAAGCGUGGGGAGCAAACAGGAUUAGAUACCCUGGUAGUCCACGCUGUAAACGAUGAGUGACUAAGUGUAGGUACGGUUCCGUCCUUUAGUGNUAGUAAGUACGAUAUANACACUCCGCCGUCGGAGGUACGGUCGACGAGACGACGUAACGUAACGUAAGUUAAGUUAAGUAGUUAGGUUGUAGAGAGNGCGACGACGACGACGAGGAGGAGG
rnacentral:rRNA from 1 species